rnacentral:tRNA from 1 species
GGGGCUGUGGCUCAGCGGUAGAGCACGCACAUAGCAUGUGCAAGGCCCUGGGUUCGAUCCUCGGCAUCACA